CGCCUGCUGAUGGAACUGGCAGACAUGCCGGAUUCAAAACCCGGUGCCGUGAAAAGCGUACAGGUUCGAGUCCUGUGUGGGCGACCA
rnacentral:tRNA from 1 species